GUCACUUUGACGGAGUGGUUAACGUGCGGCCCUGCUAAGGUCGUGUCUUCGGACGCACAGGUUCGAAUCCUGUAGGUGACG